GACGAACGCUGGCGGCGUGCCUAACACAUGCAAGUCGAGCGGAGCUAAUAGCAAUAUUAGUUUAGCGGCGGACGGGUGAGUAACGCGUGGGUAACCUGCCUCAUACUGGGGGAUAACACUGGGAAACUAGUGCUAAUACCGCAUAAUUCAGUUCCAGGGCAUCCUGGAGCUGGCAAAGGAGCAAUCCGGUAUAAGAUGGACCCGCGUCCGAUUAGCUAGUUGGCGGAGUAAUAGCCCACCAAGGCGACGAUCGGUAGCCGAACUGAGAGGUUGAUCGGCCACAUUGGGACUGAGACACGGCCCAGACUCCUACGGGAGGCUG
rnacentral:rRNA from 1 species